rnacentral:rRNA from 1 species
GACGAACGCUGGCGGCGUGCUUAACACAUGCAAGUCGAACGGAAAGGCCCUGCUUUUGUGGGGUGCUCGAGUGGCGAACGGGUGAGUAACACGUGAGUAACCUGCCCUUGACUUUGGGAUAACUUCAGGAAACUGGGGCUAAUACCGGAUAGGAGCUCCUGCUGCAUGGUGGGGGUUGGAAAGUUUCGGCGGUUGGGGAUGGACUCGCGGCUUAUCAGCUUGUUGGUGGGGUAGUGGCUUACCAAGGCUUUGACGGGUAGCCGGCCUGAGAGGGUGACCGGCCACAUUGGGCCUGGGAUACGGCCCGGACUCCUACGGGAGGCAGCAGUGGGGACUAUUGCACACUGGGCGGAAGCCUGAUGCAGCAACGCCGCGUGCGGGAUGACGGCCUUCGGGUUGUAAACCGCUUUCGCCUGUGACGAAGCGUGAGUGACGGUAAUGGGUAAAGAAGCACCGGCUAACUACGU